UGGGAGGAUGAUACGUUGCUUGGUGGGAAGUCAUUUUAUUUGCCUGGGUCUGUUGAUCAAAAUGACAAACAAAUGGACAACUGGAAUGUGAGUGCACCACCGCUUUAUCUUUGGAGUCGCACUGAUUGGACAACCAUCCAUAAAGUAAUUGCUCAACAGCAUGGCCACCCGUCCAAUAUAAAAUUAGAAGAAAAUUGCUCCCACACAACUGCCCAUCGUUCACUGAAACAUGAAGAAGAUGUGUCGACAAGGAUCAAUAAUGACACUGGUUUCGAGGAUAUGAAGCAACAUCAGCACCAAGAAUACAAGGAGAGAUCACGGAAUAACUGUGGAAAAGAAGUUAGUGAUAAACGGAUCCAUGGGAAGAAAAACUCUGAUGAGAAGUCAAUGAAUGGGAGUGAGGAUAUAAUCAAGAGUAAGUCUGAUAAGAAGUCAAUGAGAGAGAGUCAGGAUAGAAGCAAAUAUCAAAGAGAUUUGGAUGAAAAAUCAAGACAGGAUAAGUCCACAGCGAAACGUAAGAGAGAGUUGGAUGAAAAAGCAACAGAUGACAAGUCUAUAGGGAAAAGAUCUCUGUCUUCCUCCCCCAACAUGACCAAUCAUAAGUCGCUUGAUCGCACAAUAUUGUCUUCAGAAGAGAAUGAACACUAUCAGCGUUUUGCAGGUCAAAGUGCUGCUGCUUCACUGAGAGAGCAAGAGACAGGGUAUGGGGUACAUCAGGAUAGGGAUUUUGAAAGAAGGCACAUCUUGCGAACUGAAGAGCCUUAUUCAGGUUUAACUCACCAAUAUCUUCAGUCUGCUAGUCCUGGUCCUGAAUAUAUGGGGCACAGGGUACAUCAGGACGGUGACGUGGCAAGAAGGAAUGGCUUGCCAAUGCAGGAGCCUUAUUCGAGCUUAAAUCACCAGUAUUCUCAGUCUUCUAGUCCUGGUCGUGAGUAUGCAUUCAGGUCUUCAGAUGAAAGAUUUGUGGGCUACCAGAGAGAUCAUGCAGAUAUACCUGGUUAUAGACCAUACACCAGUCACUCAAAUGGCGGGAUGUAUGCGAGGGAGUCAGAUGUCCGACCACAGGGUAACCUUUAUGGGCAGCUGGGUGAUGGGUAUUUGCCUCCCAGAAGCAACUAUGUAGCAGGUGCUGUCUCUGGAUACCGUCCGAGUCCAACUGAUCCAACAUAUGGAGUGAUCAAUACGCCUGUGCGACAGUACGCUCCACAGGAUGAGUUAUAUCCUGGUAGGAUGAGUAACAUGGGAUCUGAAGGCAGAAGGGACAUCUACGGUGGUGGAAUUGCUCGACCUGGGUUUCAAGGCAACUCAUUGGGCUUUGCUCCAAGGCCUUACCAGCCCUAUUCACAGCAGAAUUCGUCAGGGUGGCUGAAUGAGUAGGAUAGGCAGUGGCUCUGGUUGGUUUGCGGAGUGUUGAAGAUGUGUCCUAUUUAUGUUUUCACAGGUUCCGCUUAUUUCAUCCUUUAUCUGACUUUUUUUUUCCGCAUUUGUUUUCAAUCAGUAGUACUAUGAAAUGAAGGCAUUAUAUGUGAAAAGUAAAAGGUAGAAAUGCACAGGCAAUUAUGCUCAUACUUUCUCUAGGGGUUUCUUGUUAUGUAAAUUUAUUUUGUUCCUUACUGCACCUUCACUUGAACCACUUCCAUGAGUGGUGAAAACGAAGACAUUGUGUUCGGCUUUGAA
rnacentral:misc_RNA from 1 species